rnacentral:rRNA from 1 species
UUACGCUGUUAUCCCUAAGGUAACUUAGUCUAUCAAUCACUAAAAAUGGAUCUAAUAUUCAUAUAUCAAUGGUAGAUAAAUAAAAAAGUUAAUCAUAUAUUUUUGUCACCCCAACAAAAUAAAAGCUUUUUAUAAAUAUAUUAAUAUAAAAAUACUCAAAAGUUUUAUAAAGAUCUAUAGGGUCUUCUCGUCUUCCAAUAAAAUUUUAGCUUUUUAACUAAAAAGUUAAAUUUUAAAACAAAUAAAAUGAGACAGUCAGUUCCUCGUUAAACCAUUCAUUCCAGCCCUCUAUUAAAAGACUAAUGAUUAUGCUACCUUUGCACGGUCAGUAUACCGCGGCCGUUAAAUAUAUUCACUGGGCAGGUCAGACCUUAUACUAAAUUCAAAAGGACAUGUUUUUGUUAAACAGGCG